CGGACGACGCUGGCGGCGUGGAUUAGGCAUGCAAGUCGGACGGUAGGGCUUUAUCGUAAGAUAGAGUUUGAGAGUGGCGAACGGGUGAGUAACACGUAGGAAUCUACCCUUAAGACGGGGACAACCCAGGGAAACUUGGGCUAAUACCGGAUGAGAGUGCGAGAGAUUGCAUUUAAAAGGAUGGCGAAAGUUGUCGCUUAGGGAUGAGCCUGCGGUCUAUUAGUUAGUUGGUGAGGUAAGAGCUCACCAAGGCGAUGAUAGAUAGGCGGCCUUAACGGGUGGUCGCCCACACUGGGAUUGAGAUACGGCCCAGACUCCUACGGGAGGCAGCAGUGGGGAAUUUUGGACAAUGGGGGCAACCCUGAUCCAGCCAUGCCGCGUGAGUGAAGAAGGCCUUCGGGUUGUAAAGCUCUUUCGGCCGGGAAAAAAUCGCAUCAGUUAAUACCUGGUGUGGAUGAUGGUACCGGAAUAAGAAGCACCGGCUAACUACGUG
rnacentral:rRNA from 1 species